AGAACGAACGCUGGCGGCAUGCCUAACACAUGCAAGUCGAACGAAGCCUUCGGGCUUAGUGGCGCACGGGUGCGUAACGCGUGGGAAUCUGCCCUGGGGUACGGAAUAACAGUGAGAAAUUACUGCUAAUACCGUAUGAUGACGUAAGUCCAAAGAUUUAUCGCCCUGGGAUGAGCCCGCGUAGGAUUAGCUAGUUGGUGAGGUAAAGGCUCACCAAGGCAACGAUCCUUAGCUGGUCUGAGAGGAUGAUCAGCCACACUGGGACUGAGACACGGCCCAGACUCCUACGGGAGGCAGCAGUGGGGAAUAUUGGACAAUGGGCGAAAGCCUGAUCCAGCAAUGCCGCGUGAGUGAUGAAGGCCCUAGGGUUGUAAAGCUCUUUACCCGGGAUGAUAAUGACAGGUACCGGGAGAAUAAGCCCCGGCUAACCGUCCGUGCCAGCAGCCGC
rnacentral:rRNA from 1 species